rnacentral:hammerhead_ribozyme from 1 species
AUCGUUGAGGAGUCCGAAAUGGGACGAAACGCGCGUCCUGGAU